rnacentral:rRNA from 1 species
ACGAACGCUGGCGGCGUGCUUAACACAUGCAAGUCGAACGGAAAGGCCCUGCUUGCAGGGUACUCGAGUGGCGAACGGGUGAGUAACACGUGGGUGAUCUGCCCUGCACUUCGGGAUAAGCCUGGGAAACUGGGUCUAAUACCGGAGAGGAGCCAUUUUUAGUGUGAUGGUUGGAAAGUUUUUUCGGUGUAGGAUGAGCUCGCGGCCUAUCAGCUUGUUGGUGGGGUAAUGGCCUACCAAGGCGGCGACGGGUAGCCGGCCUGAGAGGGUGGACGGCCACAUUGGGACUGAGAUACGGCCCAGACUCCUACGGGAGGCAGCAGUGGGGAAUAUUGCACAAUGGGCGCAAGCCUGAUGCAGCGACGCCGCGUGGGGGAUGACGGCCUUCGGGUUGUAAACUCCUUUCGCUAGGGACGAAGCUUUUUGUGACGGUACCUAGAUAAGAAGCACCGGCUAACUACGUG